CGGACGGGUGAGUAAUGUCUGGGAAACUGCCUGAUGGAGGGGGAUAACUACUGGAAACGGUGGCUAAUACCGCAUAACGUCGCAAGACCAAAGAGGGGGACCUUCGGGCCUCUUGCCAUCGGAUGUGCCCAGAUGGGAUUAGCUAGUAGGUGGGGUAAAGGCUCACCUAGGCGACGAUCCCUAGCUGGUCUGAGAGGAUGACCAGCCACACUGGAACUGAGACACGGUCCAG
rnacentral:rRNA from 1 species